ensembl:lncRNA
CCACAACAACACCAGCUCUCACAACAACCACGGCAGCAGCCACAACAUCCACGGCAGAAACCACAACUAACACAGCUGCUCCAACAACAUCCACAGGUGCACCCACAACAACUACUGAAGCUGCUACAACAAGCACUACUACUCAAACAACAACCACUACCGCACCCACAACAACCACCGCAUUACCCACAACAACAACAGGUGCUCCCACUACAACUACGGCAGAAGCAACAACAACCACUGGAGCAGCCACAACAACCACGGCAGAAACCACAACUACAACACCUGCUCCCACGACAACACCAACCCUCACAACAACCACGACAGCAAGCACAACAUCCACGGCAGCAGCCACAGCAACCACGGCAGAAACCACAACAACAACAGGUGCUCCCACUACAACUACGGCAGCAGCAACAACAAACACCGGAGCAGCCACAACAACCACAUCAGAUUCCACAACUACCACGGCCGCACCCACAACAACCACGUCAGUACCCACAACUUCCACGGCUGCUACCACAACAACACCAGCUCUCUCAACAAACACGGCAGCAGCCACAACAUCCACGGCAGAAACCACAACUAACACAGCUGCUCCAACAACAUCCACAGGUGCACCCACAACAACUCCUGAAGCUGCUACAACAAGCACUACUAGGCAAACAACAACCACGGCCACACCCACAACAACCACAGCAUUACCCACAACAACAACAGGUGCUCCCACUACAACUACGGCAGAAGCAACAACAACCACUGGAGCAGCCACAACAACCACUUCAGAAACCACAACUACAACACCUGCUCCCACGACAACACCAACCCCCACAACAACCACGACAGCAAGCACAACAACCACGGCAGCAGCCACAGCAACCACGGCAGAAACCACAACAACAACAGGUGCUCCUACUACAACUACGGCAGAAGCAACAACAACCACUGGAGCAGCCACAACAACCAAGGCAGAAACCACAACCACCACAGCUGCUCCAACAACAUCCCCAGUUCCACCCACAACAAAUACUGAAGCUGCUACAGCAAGCACUACUACUCAAACCUCAACCACUACCACACCCACAACAACCACGGCUUUACCCACAACAACAACAGGUUCUCCGACUACAACUACGGCAGCAGCAACAAUAUCCACCGGAGCAGCCACAACAACCACGUCAGAAUCCACAACUACCACGGCCGCACCCACAACAACCACGGCAGCAGCCACAACAUCCACGGCAGAAACCACAACUAACACAGCUGUUCCAACAACAUCCACAGGUGCACCCACAACAACUACUGAAGCUGCUACAACAAGCACUACUACUCAAACAACUACCACUACCGCUUCCACAACAACCACGGCUUUACCCACAACAACAACAGGUGCUCCCACUACAACUACGGCAGAAGCUACAACAACCACAGGAGCAGCCACAACAUCCACGGCAGAAACCACAACUAACACAGCUGCUCCAACAACAUCCACAGGUGCACCCACGAUAACUCUUGAAGCUGCUACAACAAGCACUACUAUGCAAACAAGAACCACGGCAGAAUCCUCAACAACCACAGCAUUACCCACAACAUCAACAGGUGCUCCCACUACAACUACGGCAGAAGCAACAACAACCACAGGAGCAGCCACAACAACCACGGCAGAAACCACAUCUACAACACCUGCUCCCACGACAACACCAACCCCCUCAACAACCACGACAGCAAGCACAACAACCAUGGCAGCAGCCACAACAACCACGGCAGAAACCACAACUAACACAGCUGCUCCAACAACAUCCACAGGUGCACCCACGACAUCUCCUGAAGCUGCUACAACAAGCACUACUAGUCAAACAACAACCACGGACGCACCCACCACAACCAUGGCUUUCCCCACUGCAACAACUGGUGCUGCCACUUCUACUACGGCAGCAGCAACAACAACCACCGGAGCAGCCACAACAACCACGGCAGCAGCCACAACAACCACGGCAGAAACCACAACUACCACGGCCUCACCCACAACAACCACGGCAGUACCCACAACUUCAACGGCUGCUACCACGACAACACCAGCUCUGACUACAACCACGUCAGCAAGCACAACAACCACGGCAGCAUCCACGGCAGAAACCACAACUAACACAGCUGCUCUAACAACAUCCACAGGUGCACCCACGACAACUCCUGAAGCUGCUACAACAAGCAAUACUACGCAAACAACAAGCACGGCCGCACCCACAAUAACCACAGCAUUACCCACAACAACAACAGGUGCUCCCACUACAACAACAGGUGCUCCCACUACAUCUACGGCAGCAGCAACAACAACCACCGGAGCAGCCACAACAACCACUUCAGAAUCCACAACUACCACGGCCGCACCCACAACAACCACGGCAGUACCCACAACAACCACGGCAGCAGCCACAACAUCCACGGCAGAAACUACAACGGCCGCUCCCACAACAACCACGGCAGUACCCACAACUACAACGGCUGCUCCCACAACGACCACGGCAGCAGCCACAACAACCACGGCAGAAACCACAACUGACACAGCUGCUCCAACAUCAUCCACAGGUGCACCCACGACAACUACUGAAGCUGCUACCACAAGCACUACUAUUCAAACAACAACCACAGCUGCACCCACAACAACCACGGCUUUACCCACAUCAACAACAGGUGCUCCCACUACCACUACGGCAGCAGCAAAAACAACCACCGGAGCAGCCACAACAACCACAGCAGAAUCCAUAACUACAACGGCUGCUCUCACGACAACAGUUGCAGCUCCAUCCACAACCACGACAACAAGCACAACAUCCACAGGUGCACCCACAACCACUACUGAAGCUGCUACAGCAAGCACUACUACUCAAACAACAACCACGGCCGCACCCACAACAAUCACAGCAUUACCUACAACAACAACAGGUGCUCCCACUACAACUACGGCAGCAGCAACAACAACCACGGCAGCAGCCACAACAACCACGGCAGCAGCCACAGCAUCCUCGGCAGAAACCACAACUAACACAGCUGCUCUAACAACAUCCACACGUGCACCCACGACAACUCUUGAAGCUGCUACAACAAGCCAUACUACGCAAACAACAACCACGGCCGCACCCACAACAACCACAGCAUUACCCACAACAACAACAGGUGCUCCCACUACAACAACAGGUGCUCCCACUACAUCUACGGCAGCAGCAACAACAACCACCGGAGCAGCCACAACUACCACGGCCGCACCCACAACAACCACGGCAGUACCCACAACAACCACAGCAGCAGCCACAACACCCACGGCAGAAACUACAAUGGACAUAUCCACAACAACCACGGCAGUACCCACAACUACAACAGCUGCUCCCACAACAAUCACGGCAGCAGCCACAACAACUACGGCAGAAACCACAACUGACACAGCUGCUCCAACAUCAUCCACAGUGGCACCCACGACAACUCCUGAAGCUGCUACCACAAGCACUACUAUUCAAACAACAACCACGGCUGCACCCACAACAACCACGGCUUUACCCACAACAACAGGUUCUCCAACUACCACUACGGCAGCAGCAAAAACAACCACCAGAGCAGCCACAACAACCACAGCAGAAACCAUAACUACAACACCUGCUCCCACGACAACACCAAUCCCCACAACAACCACGACAGCAAGCACAACAACCACCGGAGCAGCCACAACAACCACGGCAGACACAACAACUACAAUGGCUGCUCCCACGACAACAGUUGCAGCUCCCACGACAACCACGACAGCAAGCACAACAACCACGGCAGCAGCCACAACAACCACGGCAGAAACCACAACUACAACACCUGCUCCCACGACAACACCAAUCCCCACAACAACCACGACAGCAAGCACAACAACCACGACAGCAGCCACAACAACCACGGCAGAAACCACAACUACCACAGCUGCUCAUACAACAUCCACAGCUGCACCCACAACAACUACUGAAGCUGCUACAACAAGCACUAGUACUCAAACAACAACCACGGCCGCAGCCACAACAACCACUAUAAAAACAACAACAGCAUCAUUAGCAACUAUAUACUCAGCUGCAUCACCAAUUGGAAAUGAAGGUUCACUUGGAUUAGGAUUCAAAAUGAACCGUACAUUCCUAGAAGCGUAUUCAGACCCUAACUCAAACGAUUAUCAGGAACUGGCAUUAAAUGUUACUACAGAGGUGAAUCAUGGAUACAAAAUAAUUUACCCUCUCACGUACAGAGGAUGUAGGAUCAAUCAUUUCAGGAGUGGAUCAAUUAUUGUCAACAUGACCCUCAUUUUUAUAAACCAGACAGUGGUUCCCACUCCAAUGAAUGCAAUCCAGGCAUUGAUUCAGUCUCUGAAGAGUGAACAUACCUUCCUAGAUAUUAGUGAUACAAGCUCCAUUAGUGCAAUCAUUACAGCUGCUCCCACAUCCACGACAACAGCACAAACCACCACUACUACAGCAGCAACCACAGUUUCAGGAGCCAACAUUUUGACCAACACAUUUGGGAUGUGUAUAUUCUUUACCAUGCUAACAGGACUAUUCCUUAUGAUUUAAAGGACAUUAACCAAGAAACAAAUCGGUCGAUUUGAAAUUGAGGAUUGGAAAUGGAGAGGGAUUCUUGGUCUGCCUUGUUUAUUUUCUCCCAAACCUGAGCUAAUAAUGGAUAUGCUAUUGCAGGAAUAACUGAGUGAACUCAAAUGUCUCUUUUCUUACAUGCUAUGCUAAUGCAAUUAAUAUGGUACAGAUUGCAUUAUGCUCUAAAAGAAAAUGCAUUGUAUAAACCUUAUUAACGUUCAAUAUACAAAUGUGGCUUUAUAAAGCCACAUUUGUACAUUUAUAUUACAUUAUUCAUAAAAAAAUAUAUAUUU